CCGACGUGGUGGAGGGGAAACUACUUUCAAGGAGAGUGGUCAUGGUGCGGUUUACGGAGGCGGAGGCAACUGUGUCCAUCAUCAUACACAAACUAAAGGUUGCCAUGGCAGACGAUGAGGACUACACCCUCACUGACACCGCCGGCAAUGAAAUUGUCGAAUCGGAAGGGACAACAGGAUCAAUGUACUGGAAGCAAAGUGCACGAAAAAUUUUUGCCAUCAAGACUAGCACUUUCCAGCAGUGGCGCAGGCGGCAUUCCAGCCACAGAAAUGAAGACGUCCAGAGGCUGCAGGACCAAGUGGAGGAACUGCUGGAGGCAUCCCAAGGGCUGGGGGAAGUCACACGGAAUAUUGAUACCCUUGUGACCCUCAGCCGCAACCUGUCUCCAGUGUGGCUGGAAUUUAAACAAGCCUUCAUAUGUUUGGUCUGCAGAGCUACCAUGACUCGGCCCAUGUUUACAUCCUGCUGUCGGAGCCUGGUGGGGUGUGUGGAUUGUGUCCGAGAGUGGGAACGAAAUUCUAAUCAGUGCCUCAAGUGCAGGGAAGACCUGCCUACCUACACUGAGGUAGCAGGACUGUCUGCAGCACUAGACUGCCUGAGGUCAACUCAGUAGUUGUGACAAAAUGGGCUAUUGUCACAGCUUCACUACUUUCGGAAAUU